AAUCUCGAUAGUAGUUUCAAAAGUAAAAAAAUGUUAGUGAUAUUUUAUAAACUAUGGGGGAGCGGGAGUGGUAGUAAUUAUCAAAAACUUCAAAAAAAUCAGUGAAAUUCACAGAGGUUUCUUUCCAUCCAACCGUUCUAACGCUUUAUGGAUAGCGGGGAGGGGUAUUGAAACUUGACAAAAAUGUUGAGGGGAGGGAUGACAUUUUAAAUUGGAUGCAAGUGGAGAGUGCAAAAGUAGGACUGGAGUGCAAAGUGGUAAAGUAGCAAGUUAGAUUUACUAAAAACUAAGAUGGUGCACUUUAGUGUUCCAAACUAAAGCUGAGUUUUAUGGUGAUUUAUAAAGUUAAAGGGGAUAAUCACACAUGGCCCCCAAACUAUAGGGGAAAAAAAAGUGAAAUGGCCAUUGCAAAUAUUUAUUCGAAAUUGUUUAUGGUAGUGGUACAGGGUACAUUAUUCCACCUUCUCAUUCAGUUAUAGUAUAUAUUUACGAGUGUUGACCACAUGUAGCACGCCGUGGUAAUACCACGGGAGCGACCCGUGGCUGCUUCUCAACUAUCUAUUUUUGUGGUUGAUUAGACUUAAAAAAAAAAUAAAGAUUUAAAUUAAUUUGUCUAAUCAACCCCAAAAAUGGAUGAUUGAGAAGAAGCCACGGGAUACUUCCCGUGUGAUAUUACCACGGGCGCGUGCCCGUAUGAUCAGUACUCUUAUAUUAUACACGUUCAUGGCAAACAAUUGGACCAAUGUCCUGUUUCUUUUUUGUUUCAAAAAUGUUGAAUUGACUUUUCAAAAAAUUCCUUUUGAAAAUAAAAACAUUCAUUGUUUUUAUAUUGUACUUGUUGUUUGAGCGAAAAUGAUUUUCAAGAAUUUGAACAAAAAUAUUAUGUAAUUACUUUUGUAUGUAAAAAAUCUGGGGGCGAGUACGUAACCAACAGUUCGAAUUGUUCAUCGAAAAAUAUACUCUAGGGCGGACAUGUGCCAGAUGAGUAAAGAUGAGUAAAAGUAGGGUAAAAGUAAAGGACCGGGGUGAGAUCGCGCACAAAUCCUCCGGCGUGCGAAUCAGGGUCGAGUGAUAGGGAGAGGGGGUUCAUAGUAAAAAAUGAAGAACUGUGUUCAAGAUGUGUAUUGAGCGUACUUUUUAAUAAUGGGGGAGCUGGCCUUUAUAUAGGUGUGAUACUGGAGAUCCGUUGUGAGGAUAAUCAGGAGAGAUUUGCGGGGAAAGUUAUGUUUGGAAUGUAUAUACCUGAGAUACCAGGAGAAUAAAGAGAUAAGGAGAUAGAGAUAAAAGGAGGGGUGGAAGGUGGUAUUGGGAGAGCAGUCCACCAAUUAUAGGAAUUGUGAUGGAUAUUGUUCCCUGCGGGAGGCGGGAGCCUUGUUGUGUGUGUUGAAGGAGGAUUCAUGAUCUGGCAGAAGCAUAAUUAGAGAAAGACUCAGAUAGAAUCCUUGUGAAGAUAGCCUCUGAUUAUGGCGAUGUGUGAACGACCUCGCCUACACAGUGAGCUGGAGAAAUGUUAUUUUUAACAGGCGAGGGUGUGAUCAACUAGUGAUAAUUCAGGCGACCGUGUUUGACUUGGACGUAUAAAUAGGCGUUUAUUUUAUCCCACACAAUUUCUAAUUUUAAGAUAAUCCAUUUCAAGUACAGCAGCUUUCAGUAGUCCAUGUUAAUUGUUGCAGACUAUAUUCUUGUCAACUGCAAAUAGAGUCACCAAAAACCAAGACUAUUGAAAUAGUACUGCGUAUAAACACUUAAACAAAAACCAGCAACUAGAGAAUUGGUUAGUGAAAUAAUACAAAUGAGAAAGAUACAUAGAUGUGACAUAAUAACAACAGUUAACUUAUCUUUGAUGUUGACCCAAAAGGCAACUUAAGAAGGGAGCAAAUUGAGUUUUUUAAAUUUUAAUUAUAAUUAUGAUUAAUUAAAAAUUAAUCUAAUUAAUGAAACAAUAAAUCAAUAUGUAUAUGCAAUGCAAUAUAGGCAUAUAUAAAGAAAAGUAAGGAACAAGAAAACACACUAAGAUUUAUCGAGGUUCAACUACAACAUGUGGUCUACAUCCUUCCAAAGACUUCCUUGAAAUCUUCUUCCACUGUGCAAUCAACAAUUACAAGUAGGGGCUGAUUUACCAAGUACUCAGCUCACUUUUACAUAAGUGGUUUUAUCCAACAUCCACUCAAACUUACAAGUGUAUUGCUUACACAAGAGAACACUUAAACUCUGUUUUGCUUUCACAAGAAAAACACUCAAACUUUUACCAAGUGUUUUGCUUCACAAGGGGGGAGAAACACUCAAACUCUCAAAUACAAGAGUAGGAAGAUUGUAUAAGUUGAAACACACUCUCUAAUAAGAGUACUAGAAGUGGAAUAACUCAACUCUUGAGAAAGACUUUUUCAGAGAAUGAGGAAUUUGGAACUCUUUGAUGAUCAACCCAUGUAAUAAGCUUGUAUAUCUCAUGUAAAUGUUAUUUGGAGACUUGUAUAUAAAGCCCUAAAGUUGAUUUGUCCAUUGGAGGUAGUGGAGGUCAUUUAAUGCAAGAUUCAGAUGAACAAAUGUUUAAAAAAAUAGGCCGUUGAGCCCAGGUUGUCGACACCUAACUUUCAUGUAUCGACACUUCAUGCUUUCAUUUGGUCACUGGCUUUCAAGGUGUGACACCUCAAGAAUAUGUGUCGACACCUACAAUUGUAUUCCUCACUUUUUGAUUUCUCUUCAUGUGUCGAACCCUUAAACCCAUGUGUCGACACCUACACUUCACAGAUUUAAUUUUGGUUUCUAUCUUCAGUAAAUUGGCCGUAACUUAUUCGUACUUAGAAUAUUUGAACACCGUUUGUUGCAUUGGAAACUAAACUUGGGGAGAUACAAUUUAGGUUAAAAAAUUUCUUUAUUUGAACUUGUGAAAAUUGAGAUAUUCCAUCUGAAUUUGACCUAUCUACAACUGUAAAUGCUCAGAAACUUAGCUGAUAAAGCAUCACUCUUUUGGUCAUAAGUUUUUCAAUACUUUAAGUUUGGUCAUGAAAUUAAUUUCAUUAGAAAGCUAACUUUCGGGUCUUGACAAUAGACUCAAAAUAUUUUGUAUUUGGAUCUCUGAAUCUUAAGAUAAUCUCUUUUGAAAUUGGCUCAAAUUUCUUGCAAAAUUUUCUUAAAACUAUGGUUACAUGUGUCGACACCUCACGAACAUGUGUUGACACUUCAAGCCUUCAUGUGUCGCUCCCUUAAAAUAUGUGUCGACUCUUCAAGCCUUCAUUCUUAAGUUGUUAAUCAUUGUCUCCAAUGUGUCACAUCAAUACCAUGGGUCGACUCUUGAUCAUUAGUUUCUCAAACUUUGUCCUCUGUUCACAUGUGUCGCCACUAGGAUUAAGUCACUAUUAAUGUGUCAACUCUUUCGUUUCUAGUUAUCCAUUGACUGGUUCAUGGUGUCGCACCAAGUUAUUUUCAGUUUCAGUACUGUUUCAUGUGUCGACUUCUCAACGCAGUGUGUCGAUACUUUUUACCCAGAUUUUUGUAGGACUGUCUUCAUGUGUCAACACCUCAAAUGCAUGUGUCGAUACCUCUUGCCCAGAACAUACUUCUUUAUUUUCAUUGGCUAUUUAAGUAUCAAUCAAUUCUAGGACUUUAAGGGGUCUUCUCUUUUAUUCGUAGAUUUGUAUACCUCAGUUAAUAUGAGGUCAUAGAUCUUCAAAUAGCCUGGAAGUAGAUUGUAUGUGAAUUGAAUAUCAGCAUUUAGUUCAAGUAUGAGAUCUUCAAAACUGUUCCUUGAGUACUCUAAAGAGAUUCUUCAUAAGUUUAGUGAUUUCAUUCAAUUGGGAAUGCCUCUUUAUUCUUCUUAAAGUGUAAGUCAUCCUUUGGACCAUGCUCAAUUGUUGACUCUGUUGUGAAUUUAUUUUGUUGAGAAUUUUAGACUUUAAGACAUAGGCUUUAAGUCUUAAUAUUCAAUUCUAUUAAUCUGCCAUACUAAUAAAACUCAUUAGAUCACUAAUACAAUAUUUUAUUAUCAUUCAAACAUCAAGACUUGAGUUUAGGUUAAACAUUUGAAUCGCCACCAGGGAUGAUGACAUCAAUUUUCCACGUACGAUUACGAUUUUGUGUUGAUAUUUAAAGAGGAGAGAGAAAAGGAGGCUUUAGAUUUCAAAUUUUGUUUUGUUUCAUUUUUGCAUUUUUUUUUUUUUGAUAUAUAUCGUUAAGUGGACGCUUCAUAUUAAGAUGACAUGUUGACAAGUUGGUAGGAAUAGAACUUGAGAACAUUCUUUCCUAUAAUGACUGCUACUCGUUACUACUAGCAGCACAUAAACUAUAUUAUGAUUCAUGCAAAGAAAGGAAACUUAUAUGUUAAUGUUUCAUCUUGACCCAUCAUAACGAAGAUCAAAUCACAUUCAAACACUUGUUAACACCCAAAGAACCGAAAUGAUUUUAUGUUAUGUCUGUUAAGCAUGCCAUUUUUGGAUUUAGAUAGUUUAAGGAUCUUUUAUGGAUUAAAACAAAUUAUUUGUUCUUUUCCAUUUCUUUCUCCGUUUUCCCGAACAUAACAUUUAUAGGGAAAUUCUGUUCACAUCGCCGUAUGGGAAUGGUUAAUGGAUGUCUAAAUGGGUGAGAUAAAAGUGAUUGAUGUGGAUAGUUUUAGGACCUUCAGACCAUUGCAUAUUCAUUUCCGUUAUGCACUACAAACUAAAUAAUGCUGAAAUUAUUGAAAAACUUUCACUGAUCCACAAUAUUAGUGGAAUCAGUCUGAUCUAAUUACAGCAGCUCGUUGGAAUGGCCUUUAUGUAUAGAUAGCCGAACAAGCUUUAGGUACGAAUAAGUUCGCCUCUUGCCUUAACAAUACGGAUUAUAUCGCCAAGGUCUACUGCCUCGAUAGGCUGAUGCUGUUGUUUAUUGAACACGAAGUUGCAAGAAUUGUGAAGUCACGGAAUAAGUCUCUUUAACAAAAAAAGAAACUAGAUGUAAUGUUACACAUCCGCCCGGCGGAGGCAGUUGGAUCAGGUUCCGACGAACCAACCACUAAUCCCUCCAAGUGGGAGGAGCAUAGGGACUAUCGGCAAGUGUGUUAAAGUAUAUUUAAGAAUGGUGCUUCUCGAGCUAUCUGGUACGAACACGUCAACACAUAUUCCUUCUUUUUUUUCCCCAUAAAUAAGUGCGACCAUUCCUUCAAUUGAAACACUCACUAGCCACAACUAGUAACACCCAAUCACCAAAUUUUUGCCCCUUAAUCUCUCUGUAGAAAAAGUACUAAGAGCAGGAGAGGAGAGGGUAAAAAUGGUGAAGUUCUCCAAGCAAUUCGAGGUUGUGAGCGAAUUGUUCCUGAUGGAAAGAGGCUUUGUUGAUUACAAGCAACUCAAGAAAGACCUCAAGAAGUUCACUGUCCUGGUCAACACUAAGUGACACUAAUGCAAGCAAACACCCUCAUCUCUUCUAUGAGGACCUCUUAUUUGGCCAUCAACAUAGAAGACACGGGGUCAUUCAAGUACUCUAUUCUUGCUUACAUCGAUAUUGCACGUGAUUAUGUAUGAAAUUUGGAAUUUGUUUUACAUUUUUGGGUUGAAUGGGGUUAUGGUUUACUUAUCAGGUUCAUAAGAACACUUGCGGUCCUUCGGCAGACACCGCGGGACUUGUUAUGAGACUGAAUGCUGGAGCAAAGCAAUUUGCAGAGAUACGACAAGCACAUAAGUUUUCGAGGUGUUUGGACCUCAAUCAGAACACAUAGCGUGAACCAAUUUUUACCGGGGAAAGAGAAAGAGUCCUGCGAGAGAGGAGUAAGAAACACUUAAAAAACAAAUGGAGAUUCUCAUGAGCUUCAAUAUUCCCUAACCGCAGCAGCGCGGGGAAAGGCUCUACCCCCAGGAGGAGACUCCAUUUAGGGCACCAUUUCAUGGGGGCGACAUAGUUUUUUUUCUUUGAAUUUUGUUUCAAAAGUUAGUCACACAUAACACCCCAAACCACCACCGGAUACAUACAUGUUACUGUUUCACCUAGGUUACAGCAUAGAAAUUAGUAUCUUCCUUUGAGCAACAUAACAAUACAAGCCAUGUACAGACUGCAAUAUUCAGAUCAUUUUUAUUGAAUUAGUGGGACUUCAGAUUUUAUUGGGCUUUACAGAUGAAGAAUCCAUCAGAGACCAAAACGAACAAGAACAAGGUCAGGACUCGCCGACAGUGAGUUCGACGAAAAAUGCACAGUUUCGACUCGGUGAGUUGAAUGAAGAUGAGGAAAAUUCGAAACGGAAGAUGGGAAAAUGAGGACGCUCUCCGGUCGGGUUGUCCAAUUGCAAGCUAAAAACUUGAAGAGACAUUCUUGACUCAACCCGUCUCGGACGUUCUCAGCGAUCACUUACUUACUUGGGAGAUGAUUUGAUCAAAAGGCCUCGGAAAGAAAAUAGUCCUGAAGGAUGUAGGCUUACAUAAAUAAAAGUAAAGGACUUCCUCAUGCAGAGAAGAUGAUUAGAGAAGCCUUAUGAGCUCUAGUAAAGGAUUAGGGUACCUCCAAACUUACAGGUAAUAUUGUGGAAAAAAGUAAUAUGCUUUUUCUUUUAACUUGCGGUUUGUCUCGAGGAAAAGAUAAUUAGCUCCUUCUCUAUGUCAUCACUAUGAUUGUCAGGAACUUGAUACAUGCUUUGCUUGUGUGAAGAUUUUGAAGAAAUUAGAAAAUUUGACAAAGUAGGAAUGGGGUAAUUUUUAGUACAUGAAACUCAAUAAUUGUAUGCUUUUGGUGACUACUAACAUUUUGCCUUUUUGCACUUCAUUCAGUAUACCCAACAAACAAGUCCUUCCCAUUAUAUAAAAGUGGUUGAAAGCUCCUACUUCAACAGAUCGACAAGGUAAAAUCACAAUGCCAAGAAGCUCCAACUAUUGUGUAUGGAAUCAAACAAACGUUUACUAUGGACCCACCAAUUUGUGAAGGGUUGUGUCAAUUUUCUGUGCAACUAAAAUCUUUGCGAGCAUAGUUCUUUUGAGAAAACAUUAGUGUCCACGAGGCAUAUGGGUUUUCAUUGGACAUUUUUUGAAUGAUGUUGUGAUUGGAAGAUGAUUGGAUGUCGUGGGUUACCAGAUAUUCCCAUAAUCAAAAUUCUUGGACAAUUUCAGGGGCCAUGUAUCAAUCCCUAAGUAAAGUGCGCAUUUAUAUAUGCAUGAAAGUGGAGCCAGGAUAUGCUUUGUCUGAUAGUACAAUGGGGUGCAACCUUGUUAAAACAGUAAAAUUUGAAAAUGUGGUUCAUUGAAUGAGAGGCCGAGUGGGAUGGAUUGGGGGGCAGCUGGGGGCAAUCGCACCCCAAAGUUGUAAUUAGUAUUGUAUUUUAUACAUAACAUAUAAAUUCUAUGUUUUGAUAUGGAUGUUCGCUCCUAAGAUUAAAAUCAUAUGUCGUUCCUAUUGACAGGUGAUGAAGUAGAAGAUGAGGUUGAGGAUAUAUUUGUGAAGGAAAUUUGCAGAGAUUGACAGAAGGAAGGACCAUGAAAUAACCUUAAGCCCAACUCCUAGAAAGGAAGUUCCAUGGAGUGACUUUUUUCAUAGGUUAGUGGUUUU
rnacentral:lncRNA from 1 species